AUUGAACGCUGGCGGAAUGCUUUACACAUGCAAGUCGAACGGCAGCACGGGUGCUUGCACCUGGUGGCGAGUGGCGAACGGGUGAGUAAUGCACCGGAACGUAUCCAAUAAUGGGGGAUAACGCACCGAAAGGUGUGCUAAUACCGCAUACGCCCUGAGGGGGGAAAGCGGGGGAUCGUAAGACCUCGCGUUAAUGGAGCGGCCGAUGCCGGAUUAGCUAGUUGGUGAGGUAAAGGCUCACCAAGGCGACGAUCCGUAGCUGGUCUGAGAGGACGACCAGCCACACUGGAACUGAGACACGGUCCAGACUCCUACGGGAGGCAGCAGUGGGGAAUUUUGGACAAUGGGCGCAAGCCUGAUCCAGCGAUUCCGCGUGAGUGAAGAAGGCCUU
rnacentral:rRNA from 1 species